GAGAGAGCCGUCGAAGGUGAAGUCGAUGACUGGGGUGAAGUCGUAACAAGGUAGCCGUAUCGGAAGGUGCGGCUGGAUCACCUCCUUUCU
rnacentral:rRNA from 1 species